rnacentral:rRNA from 1 species
AUUGAACGCUGGCGGCAGGCUUAACACAUGCAAGUCGAGCGGAGAUGAGGUGCUUGCACCUUAUCUUAGCGGCGGACGGGUGAGUAAUGCUUAGGAAUCUGCCUAUUAGUGGGGGACAACAUUCCGAAAGGAAUGCUAAUACCGCAUACGUCCUACGGGAGAAAGCAGGGGAUCUUCGGACCUUGCGCUAAUAGAUGAGCCUAAGUCGGAUUAGCUAGUUGGUGGGGUAAAGGCCUACCAAGGCGACGAUCUGUAGCGGGUCUGAGAGGAUGAUCCGCCACACUGGGACUGAGACACGGCCCAGACUCCUACGGGAGGCAGCAGUGGGGAAUAUUGGACAAUGGGGGGAACCCUGAUCCAGCCAUGCCGCGUGUGCGAAGAAGGCCUUAUGGUUGUAAAGCACUUUAAGCGAGGAGGAGGCUACUGAGACUAAUACUCUUGGAUAGUGGACGUUACUCGCAGAAUAAGCACCGGCUAACUCUGUGUCAGCCGCCGCCGUAAGAC